rnacentral:rRNA from 1 species
GCAUGCAAGUCAGACGGAAUGUAGUAAUACAUUCAGUGGCGAACGGGUGAGUAACGCGUGGAUAAUCUACCUACGAGAUGGGGAUAACUAUUAGAAAUAGUAGCUAAUACCGAAUAAAGUCAAUUAAGAUGUUAGUUGAUGAAAGGAAGCCUUUAAAGCUUCGCUUGUAGAUGAGUCUGCGUCUUAUUAGCUAGUUGGUGGGAUAAGAGCCUACCAAGGCUAUGAUAAGUAACCGGCCUGAGAGGGUGAUCGGUCACACUGGAACUGAGAUACGGUCCAGACUCCUACGGGAGGCAGCAGCUAAGAAUCUUCCGCAAUGGGCGAAAGCCUGACGGAGCGACACUGCGUGAACGAAGAAGGUCGAAAGAUUGUAAAGUUCUUUUAUAAGUGAGGAAUAAGCUUUGUAGGAAAUGACAAAGCGAUGACGUUAAUUUAUGAAUAAGCCCCGGCUAAUUACGUGCCAGCAGCCGCGGUAAUACGUAAGGGGCGAGCGUUGUUCGGGAUCAUUGGGCGUAAAGGGUGAGUAGGCGGAUAUGCAAGUCUAUGUGUAAAAUACCACAGCUCAACUGUGGAACUAUGCUGGAAACUGCAUGACUAGAGUCUGAUAGGGGAAGUUAGAAUUCCUGGUGUAAGGGUGGAAUCUGUUGAUAUCAGGAAGAAUACCAGAGGCGAAGGCGAACUUCUAGGUCAAGACUGACGCUGAGUCACGAAAGCGUAGGGAGCAAACAGGAUUAGAUACCCUGGUAGUCUACGCUGUAAACGAUGCACACUUGGUGUUAAUCGAAAGGUUAGUACCGAAGCUAACGUGUUAAGUGUGCCGCCUGGGGAGUAUGUUCGCAAGAAUGAAACUCAAAGGAAUUGACGGGGGCCCGCACAAGCGGUGGAGCAUGUGGUUUAAUUCGAUGAUACGCGAGGAACCUUACCAGGGCUUGACAUAUACAGGAUAUAGUUAGAGAUAACUAUUCCCCGUUUGGGGUCUGUAUACAGGUGCUGCAUGGUUGUCGUCAGCUCGUGCCGUGAGGUGUUGGGUUAAGUCCCGCAACGAGCGCAACCCUUGUUGUCUGUUACCAGCAUGUAAAGAUGGGGACUCAGACGAGACUGCCGGUGAUAAGCCGGAGGAAGGUGAGGAUGACGUCAAAUCAUCAUGGCCCUUAUGUCCUGGGCUACACACGUGCUACAAUGGCCUGUACAAAGCGAUGCGAAACAGUGAUGUGAAGCAAAACGCAGAAAGCAGGUCUCAGUCCAGAUUGAAGUCUGAAACUCGGCUUCAUGAAGUUGGAAUCGCUAGUAAUCGUAUAUCAGAAUGAUACGGUGAAUACGUUCUCGGGCCUUGUACACACCGCCCGUCACACCACCCGAGUUGAAGAUACCCGAAGCUAUUAUUCUAACCCGCAAGGGAGGAAGGUAUCUAAGGUAUGUUU